UACGUAGGGUGCAAGCGUUAUCCGGAAUUAUUGGGCGUAAAGAGCUCGUAGGCGGUUUGUCGCGUCGGCUGUGAAAACCCGGGGCUCAACCCCCGGGCCUGCAGUCGAUACGGGCAGACUAGAGUGCGGUAGGGGGAGACUGGAAUUCCUGGUGUAGCGGUGAAAUGCGCAGAUAUCAGGAGGAACACCGAUGGCGAAGGCAGGUCUCUGGGCCGAUACUGACGCUGAGGAGCGAAAGCGUGGGGAGCGAACAGG
rnacentral:rRNA from 1 species